GAUUAACGCUGGCGGCGUGCAUAGCACAUGCAAGUCGAACGAUGAAACUUAGUAGACUUCUUCGGAAAGACACUAAGCGGCUUAGUGGCGAACGGGUGAGUAACGCGUGAGUAACCUGCCUUACACAAGGGGAUAGCCUUUGGAAACGAAGAAUAAUACCCUAUAAAACCAUAAAAGCACAUGCUAGAAUGGUCAAAGUGAUAGCGGUGUAAGAUGGACUUGCGUCUGAUUAGCUAGUUGGUGAGAUAAAAGCUCACCAAGGCAACGAUCAGUAGCCGGCUUGAGAGAGUGUACGGCCACAUUGGGACUGAGACACGGCCCAGACUCCUACGGGAGGCAGCAGUGGGGAAUUUUGCACAAUGGGGGAAACCCUGAUGCAGCGACGCCGCGUGAUUUAGAAGGCCUUCGGGUUGUAAAAAUCUUUUGUAUAGGAAGAAAAUGACAGUACUAUACGAAUAAGGUCCGGCUAAUUACGUG
rnacentral:rRNA from 1 species